CACUUGUCUUUUAAAUGAAGACCUGUAUGAAUGGCAUAACGAGGGUUUAACUGUCUCCUUCCCCCAGUCAAUGAAAUUGAUCUGCCCGUGCAGAAGCGGACAUAAAAACAUAAGACGAGAAGACCCUAUGGAGCUUUAGGCCAAGGAACAAGCAUGUUAAUAGACUAUACAAAACCAAAGAGACAAAAAAGUCACAAUAAACCAAAUGUAAAAUGAACCAAGUGCCUUCGGUUGGGGCGACCACGGGGAAAAGACAAACCCCCACAUGGAAUGGAGAUAACCCUCCUAAACUAAGAAGUACACUUCUAAGUAACAGAAUUUCUGACCAAAAAUGACCCAGGAUAAUGUAUCCUGAUCAAUGAACCAAGUUACCCUAGGGAUAACAGCGCAAUCCUUUCCCAGAGCCCAUAUCGAC
rnacentral:rRNA from 1 species